rnacentral:rRNA from 1 species
CCUACGGGAGGCAGCAGUGAGGAAUAUUGGUCAAUGGGCGCUAGCCUGAACCAGCCAAGUCGCGUGAAGGAUGACUGUACAAUGUGUUGUAAACUUCUUUUAUCUGGGAAUAAAGUCCAGUAUGUAUACUGCUUUGCAUGUACCUUAUGAAUAAGCAUCGGCUAACUCCGUACCAGCAGCCGCGGUAAUACGGAGGAUCCGAGCGUUAUCCGGAUUUAUUGGGUUUAAAGGGAGCGUAGGCGGGUUGUUAAGUCAGCUGUGAAAGUGUGCGGCUCAACCGUAAGAUUGCAGUUGAUACUGGCAUCCUUGAGUACAGUAGAGGUAGGCGGAAUUCGUGGUGUAGCGGUGAAAUGCUUAGAUAUCACGAAGAACUCCGAUUGCGAAGGCAGCCUGCUGGACUGUAACUGACGCUGAUGCUCGAAAGUGUGGGUAUCAAACAGGAUUAGAUACCCUUGUAGUC